CUUUAUUUAUUUCUGCAGGUAAGCACCAUACCGUAAGCUUCAUUCCCUUUAUAACAGGUAAGGUUCAUACUGUUUUAUUCUUUUAUACUGUUUUAUUUUAAAUCAUUCAGUAAAUGCAAAGUUAAACCGAUGGUGUUUUUAAUCUAGAUUUAAAAGUGCCUACUGUUGAAACACAUCUGAUCUCAUCUGAAAGCUGAUUCCAGCUAUACAGGUUUAAAAGUGCCCACUGUUAAAACACAUCUGAUCUCAUUUGAAAGCUGAUUCCAGCUACAGAUCUAAAAGUGUCUUCUGUUGAAACACAUCUGAUCUCUUCUGAAAGCUGAUUCCAGCUACAGGUU